rnacentral:rRNA from 1 species
CAAACUGCGAAACGUAAUGCGAAUUGCAGAUCCCGUGAAUCAUCGAAUUUUUGAACGCAAGUGGCCGCUCGUGGGUAAUCCUACGAGCAGGUCUGUUUGAGUGUCUGUCUAUAAGGGAAAUAAUAAUAUUUUGUGCUAUCAGUAAUUUUAUCC